rnacentral:lncRNA from 1 species
AAAAUUACAAAUAAAUAAAUAAAAAUAAUAAUAAAAAAAUAAAUAAAAUAUAAUAGAAAAACUUGUACUUGGACCUCUCUCAUUUGAGCCCACAAAGCCAUGAAAAUCAGGUUAUAAAAGAGGGAGAUCAGACAGAAAAAGGAAGAGAAGCAAAAUACUCUGAGGUUUCCUUGAAACAAAACCCUUGACAAAACCUGGAGAGAAACCUGACAGAGAACUCAGAGCAACCCCCAGGCAGCUCUGAAAAA